rfam:Myotis brandtii contig261466, whole genome shotgun sequence.
GGUGGUUCCUGGGUGACGCACCCUGAAAUCGGGCUCCCUCCUCUCUGGUUCCGGAUGCGUCACCAGAGAACUGCC